UACGUAGGGGGCAAGCGUUAUCCGGAUUUACUGGGUGUAAAGGGAGCGUAGACGGCAGGGCAAGUCUGGAGUGAAAGGCAGGGGCCCAACCCCUGGACUGCUCUGGAAACUGUCCGGCUGGAGUGCAGGAGAGGUAAGUGGAAUUCCUAGUGUAGCGGUGAAAUGCGUAGAUAUUAGGAGGAACACCAGUGGCGAAGGCGGCUUACUGGACUGCAACUGACGUUGAGGCUCGAAGGCGUGGGGAGCAAACAGG
rnacentral:rRNA from 1 species